AUGGGCAUGUCUUGGAGUGGAUUUUGGUUACCAUCUAUGGAAACCCAAGUCUUAAGAAAACCAGUAAGAGUUUCUCACAAUGGUUUACCUUUCUGCAUUAUGAGGAAUGCUGAAUAUCAAGUGAUUCCUGCUGCUCUCUGGAUGUUUUCGAGAUGGACAGAUGAAGCCAACUUCUGUAACCAGGAACCAUGAAAUAAAGGGCCAUUAGUUGGAGAAUGGGGAAAAAAA
rnacentral:lncRNA from 12 species